UACGUAGGAUGCAAGCGUUGUCCGGAAUUAUUGGGCGUAAAGAGCGCGCAGGCGGCCCAUCAAGUCAGAUGUGAAAUAACCAGGCUUAACCUGGUGGGGUCAUUUGAAACUGGCGGGCUAGAGUACAGCAGAGGAUAGCGGAAUUCCCGGUGUAGUGGUGAAAUGCGUAGAUAUCGGGAGGAACACCAGUGGCGAAGGCGGCUAUCUGGGCUGCAACUGACGCUGAGGCGCGAAGGCUAGGGGAGCAAACAGG
rnacentral:rRNA from 1 species